UUAGAACCACGACAGCCGGCCCCCACCUUCUCCCAAUCCCCUCACCUUCUCUCCGUGGCCGGUGGAUUCGCCCCUCGCGGGAUCGAUUCCUCCGAGCCGACGGGGUCUUCAGGGCCGGACGGGAGCGGCGCGUCCCCCAUCGGCGCGUUGGUGAGCGCGGCGGCGGCCGUGGCUGAGCUCGAGCCCGUAGCUCAGAUCCUUCAGGGCCGGACGGGAGCGGCGCGUCCCCCAUCGGCACGUUGCUGAGCGCGGCGGUGGCCGUGGCCGAGCUCGAGCCCGUAGCUCAGAUCCUUCAGGGCCGGACGAGAGCGGCGCGUCCCCCAUCGGUGCGUUGGUGAGCGCGGCGGCGGCCGUGGCCGAGCUCGAGCCCGUAGCUCAGAUCCUUCAGGCCCGGACGGGAGCGGCGCGUCCCCCAUCGGCGCGUUGGUGAGCGCGGCGGCGGCCGUGGCCGAGCUCGAGCCCGCAGCUCAGAUCCGCAGGAUCCCGUCAAGAGCCUCGGCCCAUCCCAUGGAGAAGAUGUUGCGGCUCUUCUAGCUCCCCUCCCGUGCGCAGGUUGUGGGUACAACCGUAACCAGCAAAUCAGCCCCAUCUGCAGCAAAUCAGCCUGAGGAGGUGGAGGAGCAGGCACCCAGAACCAACAUGGUUGCAGGAAUAGCUUUAUAUUAGGAGCAGCUUCUCCACCACCACUCAGCGGUAGAGGAGGUGUGCUUCUUCCCCAACACAACAUAGCGGCAGCCACGUUUUCCUCUUUCAGAAGCGAGAUAUUUUUCAAGAUCUUGCUCCACUGUUGUGGCACUCCUUUGGCACCGUUGCUGCACUGCUCCAGGAGAUUGUGUCAAUCUACCCUUCACUUUCACCUCCUACUUUGUCGCCAGUUGCAUGAAACCGUGUCUGCAAUGCACUUGCACUUCUUCAGUGUGUUGCUUCACACCCUGAGACCAGGAUCCCGUUCUUGAAUGCUCACAUCCCACUGUACCUGUACCCGUUCCUUAAUAGUACUAGCAAGACCAGACCUUUUGAGUACUUGAGGCUUACCAGCUUGGGUGUUAUUGGUGCUCUUGUGAAGGUUGAUUAUUCUGAAGUUAUUGGGAUUUUGCUUCAAACUGAAAUAAUCCUUCUGUGUCUGCGUACUAUGGAGAUGGGCAGUGAACUUUCCAAAACAGUAUGAACUCAACCCCUUCUAUAAAUCUAAGUCUAUAUGCUUUGUAGCCUUUGAAAAUGCAUCAGCAAUGGUUAAUUAUAAUCUUAUGUGAAAUCUGCAUGGUGCAACACUGAAAUCAUGCUGCAACCUAAUUUGGUUAUGGUAUGAAUUGCUGUGAUUAUCUGUGGUAGCUGCCUUCUGUAGGUUGUUUUCUUCAUCCUUUUCAUCUUAUCUUACUGGAAUACUUUAUCUUUUAUCAAUUAUAUAAAUUUGUAUUAUUUAAAUUACCCUGUUGGUAGCUAAUAAAUAACGAUGUGGAUGACAUGAAGAAACUCAAAACUGGUUGUCGAGCCAUGAUGUACUUAAAGCUUCCAUAGAUAGCUUUUUACUAGAUUGUUGGGACCUCUUUACUGGCUGGCCCGCAUCGGUUUAAGCAAGGGACAGAGGAAGAGGGGGAGAGGCGGCAUCAUGCAGCAAGGGAGACAGGACGAGGGAGAGAUGCGGCAUGAGGAACUGUGCACCAUACGAAAGCUUUAGUAGGAGAAUAGGAAGAUGGGCAUGUGAUUUAAUGGGCUAGGCCAGCCCAUCUAGCUUAUUACUUCACGUUACAGUACAAACGCAUAAUUGCGCCUACUUUCGUCUAAUCACGCCUAAGCUAUAAAAGCGAAGUAGGUGGCCAAAUGCAUAAUUAACGCCUAGCGCCUUUUUGAACUUUGAUUCACAUUACCUUUGAAUUUAAACGUUUGAGUACUCCAAACAUGUUUGUAUCAACAAAUGUUUGAUACAGUAUGUAGUGCUAUCAUCUCAUGGUUUCUUUUUACUGCCAUCAAUGUAUUUUGAGUACGUCAACUAAAUUUUAAUUCAGUUCACAAUGCACACAAUUUUGGUGACUCUUGCGUGCUCAAGCUUUGCGUCGUUCCGACGUGUGCAUUCAUGUUGGUUCGUGCGGUGGAGGCGUUUUGGCGGUGGACCACGGCCUUGCGGUUCCUGGAGCCUGGGGAGGCCGUGCGAGGAAACUAGGGCGGCAAGGUGCCGCCCCUUGCUGCUGCUCCCCCACGCUAGGAGCUCUCCUGGAGCUCCCCCAUGCCUUGAGCUCGCUAGGAGGAGCAGAGGCCUACGCGCUCCCUGUGGCAAUGCCUGGGGCGGUCUGCAAGGAGGAGCAGAGGCUUGGAUCUGCGGGGAGGAGCAGAGGCCUGGAGCCGGCGGCGAGCUGUGGAGGUGACGACGCGAGGGAGGGGAUCAGGAGGGAAAGGGAGGAGCGGAUAGCCAACUUUUGAAUUGUAUAAGGAUGUAACUGAAAAUUGUGUUUAGUUCAAAAUUUAUGUCCCUUGCGACAUAUAUUUCGGGACGGAGGGAGUACUAUUGACAUAGAUACACUUUAUUGAUCAUGGAUUUUUUAUAUCAUAUUAUCAAGUGAAAAUGAUCUAUGUAUGCACUUCUUAUGGUCA